UGAAUACGAGACGCUAAGGCGUCGAAGUAGUGUAUGUCAUACUUCCAAGAAAAGCUUGCACUGUCAUAGAUAAAAAACGCCUGUACCAUAACCGACACAGGUGGGUAGGUAGAGUAUACUAAGGGGCGCGAGAUAACUCUCUCUAAGGAACUCGGCAAAAUAACUCCGUAACUUCGGGAGAAGGAGUGCCUUAUUCGUAAGGUUGCAAUAACAAGAUCCAAGCAACUGUUUAUCAAAAACACAGGUCUCCGCUAAGUCGUAAGACGAUGUAUGGGGGCUGACGCCUGCCCAGUGCCAGAAGGUUAAAGAAGUUGGUUAGCAAUUGCGAAGCUGAUAACUGAAGCCCUGGUGAACGGCGGCCGUAACAAUAACGGUCCUAAGGUAGCGAAAUUCCUUGUCGGGUAAGUUCCGACCCGCACGAAAGGCGUAAUGAUUUGGAUACUGUCUCGGAGAGGGGCUCGGUGAAAUAGACUUGUCUGUGAAGAUGCGGACUACCUGCACCAGGACAGAAAGACCCUAUGAAGCUUUACUGUAACUUGAAAUUGAAAUUGGACUUUAUUCGCGCAGUAUAGGUGGGAGGCGUUGAUUAUAAUCUUGUGGGAUUAUUGGAGCCAUCAGUGAGAUACCACUCUUGUAAUGUUAGAUUUCUAACUUUGAAUCAUUAUCUGGUCAAAGAACAGUUUCAGGCGGGCAGUUUGACUGGGGCGGUCGCCUCCUAAACGGUAACGGAGGCGUACAAAGGUUUCCUCUGAACGGUUAGAAAUCGUAUCUAGAGUGUAAAGGCAUAAGGAAGCUUGACUGUGAGACCUACAAGUCGAGCAGGGACGAAAGUCGGUCUUAGUGAUCUGACGGUACUGAGUGGAAGGGCCGUCACUCAACGGAUAAAAGUUACUCUAAGGAUAACAGGCUGAUCUCCCCCAAGAGUUCACAUCGACGGGGAGGUUUGGCACCUCGAUGUCGGCUCAUCGCAUCCUGGGGCGGUAGUACGUCCCAAGGGUUGGGCUGUUCGCCCAUGAAAGCGGUACGCGAGCUGGGUUCAGAACGUCGUGAGACAGUUCGGUCCAUAUCCGGUUAGGCGUUAGAAUAUUGAGAGGAGCCUUCUUUAGUACGAGAGGACCGAGAAGGACAUACCUCUGGUGUACCAGUUAUCGUGCCAACGGUAAACGCUGGGUAGCUAUGUAUGGAGUGGAUAACCGCUGAAAGCAUCUAAGUGGGAAGCCCACCUCAAGAUAAGUAUUCUC
rnacentral:rRNA from 1 species